AGAGGGGGACAACAGUUGGAAACGACUGCUAAUACCGCAUAAGACCACGGUGUGGCAUCACACAGAGGUCAAAGGAGAAAUCCGCUGAAGGAUGGGCUCGCGUCCAAUUAGCUAGAUGGUGAGGUAACGGCCCACCAUGGCGACGAUUGGUAGCCGGACUGAGAGGUUGAUCGGCCACAUUGGGACUGAGACACGGCCCAGACUCCUACGGGAGGCAGCAGUGGGGAAUAUUGCACAAUGGAGGAAACUCUGAUGCAGCGACGCCGCGUGAGGGAAGAAGGUCUUCGGAUUGUAAACCUCUGUUGUCAGGGACGAUAAUGACGGUACCUGACGAGGAAGCCACGGCUAACUACGUGCCAGCAGCCGCGGUAAAACGUAGGUGGCAAGCGUUGUCCGGAAUUACUGGGUGUAAAGGGAGCGCAGGCGGGAGAGCAAGUUGGAAGUGAAAUCUGUGGG
rnacentral:rRNA from 1 species